AGUCAUGAUGUGGGCAAGUACUUACAAGAUCCUUAAAUCUCUCCAAAAAUUGGAAGAAUGUUUCUUCCUGUUUUUGUGAAAAGUUCAUGAUGACCUUUCUAAGAGU